AGGUGUCCACCUCUCAGCAUUCUGGGUCUCACUCUUACAGGCAUCAAAGAAGAAAGAGCAGGUCACCAGUCGGGCGUCAAUCACUCUCACCUCAAUCUCCACAUCUUCCUGAGAGAGGACCUCCUUCAAGUCAGCACUGGUCACAUUUUAUGGAUUCCCUCAACCAACUGAAAGAUCAGAAAGUUGCUCAACUUGCUACAGGGACUACAGAUAACACCAGCAUUCACUUUACACUGCAUUAGUAGAACAAAUUGUGAAUCUGAAUAGUACUAGAUGCUCAAAAGUAAAAUAAACAUAUUAAACAAAUAUAUCAGGCUUUGAGAAAGUAUAAUGGAAUUAUUUAUCCGAGGUUGGUCUGGCAAUUACUAUUUUUCCCGAGGGGCGAAGCCCUGAGGGAAAUAUAGUAGUUUUGCCAGUCCAACCGAGGAUUAAUAAUUUCCACUAUGGUUUCAAAUGAAACGCCUGAAAUAUUUGUUUUAUAUCCUACUUUUAAUAAUUUGUAACCAAAAUCUAUGCUCUGAGCUUGCAAAGUCGGGUUACUUGCGUUGAAUUACCUACUCUUCUCCAAGCCACCGCGCUCAGCGGAACGCAGAUUAGUGCCUGCGCCGACGCAUCACGGGACUUGCCCGGGAGAGAGAACUCGCUGGCCGGUGUGCCCGAGAGUUUAGCUAAAUAUCCAGUUUUCUGAAAUAAUGACGUCAGAAUAUUGGUAUAGCAAAAAAUAUAUUGAGGUCUGACGUCACACAACAUCAUAGUUGAAAUAUAUUUGGUCACAUGAUGCUAUUUGAACCAAUCAUAACUUUAAAAGUUUAUGGAACUAGUUCGUGAAACUUACACAUACAAGUAAUCAAGUAUCAGAGAACAUCCUGCCUUAGUUUCAGGUCACAGAACCUAGGUCAAAGGUCAUUUAAUGUCAAUGAACUCUGGCCAUAUUAGAGGUAUUUGUUGAAUUGCCAUCAUAACUUUGAAAGUUUAUGUAUACAGUUCAUGAAAUGUGGACAGAAGGGUAAUCAGGUAUCACUGAUCAACUCUGCACUAGUCUUAGGUCACAUGAUCAAGGUCAAAUGUCAAUUAGAGUCAAUGAACAUAAUUUUGUUAUCAUAUGAAUGGUGUUUAUUAUGGAUAAUUAUUUAAUAGUUGAUUUCAAGUCAGCACUGCUGCUUUAUUGUUUCGCCCACCAGAGGUGAAGGCGAGACUUAGGGAUCCAAAUGUCGUCCGUCCGUCACAAACCCUAUGACACAUAACUCCACAACCGUAACAUGACGAAGAACUUCCAUUUGAGAACACUAUACCCCAGUUUCCCUUCUCAUCUAUUCUCUUCUCCAAGUACGACAAACCCUAACUGCCCCAAGCAAGCAAUUUAAGUAUCAAAACACCUGUUUCUUGACGUCGGUCCGAAGAUAACACAACAGCCCGGCAUAUACAGUCACAGCAGGGGGCCACACACGAUGGGACGCAUGCGCAGCGCUGAGCUCGGUUUUUGCAAUUACAUGCCGUCAUUUUUAUUCGCUUAUUUCGAGGUCUAUUUUCUUCGUUCGAAAUUGAAAAUGGACUAACAUUGGAUUACUGAAUACAAUAUGCCUUUGAAAACGUGAUUAGAUAUCGAAUACAAUAAUUUCAUUCCGAAGGUCGUACUACAGGCAGAGAAGUCUUUAUAGCACAGCUGUUGUUUAUCUUUUGGUCCUUUGCUCAACGCUCAUAUACUGGCCUGUUGAGGUGAAAUUGAGACAGCGGGAUUACCCCUGGAUUACCUGGCCAAGCGCGGUUGAUAAGGGCUUGGAAAUGAUAUUUGGGAGAUCCAAAUGAAAAAUGGGGUAUAACACCGCAGUUUGCAAUCUGAACUGCGGUCUUUCUCCAAACGGGGGUUUGACGUAAUGAGUCGCUUUUCAACCAAACUUGGAUGGUAGAUGGACUUGGGGAACCUGCAUGUUAUGCUCCAGCGGAGGUCAUUUUCAGGUCAACGUUAAAGUUUACAUGCAAGACUCUCUUAUGACACCUAACUCCGCAACCGUACAUGUAAGUCACUUUUCAACCAAACUUGGAUGGUAGAUGGACUUGGGGGACCUGCAUGUUAUGCUGCAGUCAGAGGUCACAUUGUAAGGUCAAAGGUCAUUUUCAGGUCAACAUUAAAGUUUACGUGCAAGACUCUCUUAUGACACCCAACUCCGCAACCGUAAUUCACUUUUCAACCAAACUUAGAUGGUAGAUGGACUUGGGGGACCUGCAUGUUAUGCUGCAGUCAGAGGUCACAUGAUAAGGUCAAAGGUCAUUUUCAGGUCAACGUUAAAGUUUACAUGCAAGACUCUCUUAUGACACCCAACUCCGCAACCGUAAGUCACUUUUCAACCAAACUUGGUUGGUAGAUGGAAUUGGGGAACCUGCAUGUUAUGCUGCAGUCGGAGGUCACAUUGUAAGGUCAAAGGUCAUUUUCAGGUCAACUUUAAAGUUUGCAUGCAAGACUCUCUUAUGACACCUAACUCCGCAACCGUAAGUCACUUUAAAAAAAAACUUGGCUGGAAGAUGGAAUUGGGGAACCUGCAUGUUAUGCUGCAGUCGGAGGUCACAUGGUAAGGUCAAAGGUCAUUUUCAGGUCAAUCUUAAAGUUUACAUGCAAGACUCUCUUAUGACACCUAACUCCGCAACCGUAAUUCACUUUUCAACCAAACUUGGAUGGUAGAUGGACUUGGGGGACCUGCAUGUUAUGCUGCAGUCAGAGGUCACAUGGUAAGGUCAAAGGUCAUUUUCAGGUCAACAUUAAAGAUUACGUGCAAGGCUCUUAUGACAAGUGUUGUUCCAUCCCAGUAAUCUUACAAUGAAGUUUCGAUAGAAUUCUGUUGCGUGCCCUCGCAAAUCACAAUAUUUCUGGUUAUUUUUAUCAGUGGGCGAGACACAAAAUCGCUUUUGCCUUGUUAUAGUUGUAAAGAGAGAUUCCUGAGAUUUUGGUCUUUGAUUUGUUUUGGUUUAGCCUGAAUAUCAAAGUGGUCUCAAAUUUAUGUGACAUACUGUAUUUAUUUUGUUAUAUGCUCAUGUAUUCCAUUCAAGUUUGAAAUCAGAUGACAUUUCUCUACAAUGCUAUCUAUCCACAUGGAUUUUAUGCAAUAUUUUUGCAAAACAGUAUUAUACAUGUAUUUCUACUUUUUCACAGAAUGAACUUUGUCUCAUUUAUUAUUGAAAUUUGAAUUAGAUAUGAUGCAAAAGGUGUACUUAGCACAGUAUUUUAUUUUCUAUUUUGAAUAGAGGUCCUGUAGUAUAUAUACGUAAAAUUAAUACUUGCAAUCAAUUAUAAAUUUAUACUGAAAAUAUAAGUACAUUGUUUGCCAUUGAUUGGUAUUUACAGUCAGUUGUGUGAUAUCUGAUAGACCCCAGAUUUUAACCUAUUGUCAAGUAGAUCUUGAAAGGCAGACUUAUUUUCCAUCCCCUCAAAUUGGCUGAUCUGGCAAUCAUCAGCACACUCAUCACCGACACCGACAAUGUAAUUGUUUAAAAAUUAUUCAAAUUUAUUUUAAUUGAUCAAUUGUCUACUUUAUACACACACUCAAAAUAGUGCUUCAGAAUCUUUAAUCUAACCUCCAUUUUCUUCAAAACUCUAAUUUAUGGACUUUCUAAAGUUACGUUUGUUAGCAUCAUGAUCUGCUCAUUCUCUGCCCAUGAAUGAACAGAUAAUCAGCUAUAAGUUUCAGUUGAUUUUUCUUGUGAUCUGCACUUUAACUGGAGAUCUGUUUUACUUUUUAAGGUAAUUAGCAGAAAAUAGUCCAUGAACCCAAUUUUAAGUGCCUCUGAAGUUCUUUAGGAUACUUUACUCUGCAUUGUGGCAAAGUAUGACAAAUAUUACCCUGAAUUUGAAUAAUUGGGAGAGUGGUUUAGAAUUUUUCUCAUCUUUGAUGUUCUUAAAGGCACAUUUGCUCAAAUAAAAGUGUUGAUAGUUUGAAAACAAGCACAUGAACCCCCA